GCCAGGGUGGCGCAGUCGGUAGCGCGCACCCCUCAUAAGGGUGAGGCCGCCGGUUCGACCCCGGCCCCUGGUA
rnacentral:tRNA from 1 species